rnacentral:lncRNA from 1 species
AUGUCAGCAAUUUGGCUGCCUUGUGUACUUUGGCUUCUAAAAAAGCAUUUGAAAGUAAACAAAUGGAGGAGAAUCUGGCAGCUGGAUUUCAAACGUGUGCAGCCCGCGCAGGACCGCGCCGUAGGCAGCCGUGCCCAGCGCCCACAGGCAGCGGCGAGGUCCGGGACGAAGAGGGAGGCUGCCGAGGUGCCGUUGGGCUCCUUCCACUUUGACUCGUGUUUCUGCAAAUUCAUAAGCCCCGCUGUGGGUCGGCUCGGCGGAAAGGGCAGGAGAAGCCGGUGGGUCUCAAACCUUGGCGGCACAGGGGCAGCGACGGCCACCCCCGGGGAUGCCCGCGUCCAGCGCCGGCUCGUGCAGGGCGCCACGGUGGGUGAUGCACUGAUGCUCCCCGCGGCCCCUCUGUCCCGGGGGCCCUCGGGCAAAGCCGGGGGCCGGGUUCGUCCCCCCUCGGGGCAGCGGGCGCCGGGGCCGCGUGGGCUCCCCGUGCAGGGGCUCCGGUUCGGGCGACGCAGCGGCUCUGCGGCUGCAGCUCUGCUCCGGGCGGGUGGAGGUGGGUGAUGCUCCGGCGCCCGCUCGGCGAAACGAGGACGAGCCCCCCGGCACGGGCGCUGGCUCGGGGUGUCCCUGCGA